ACGAACGCUGGCGGCGUGCUUAACACAUGCACGUCGAACGGAAAGGCCCUGCUUUUGUGGGGUGCUCGAGUGGCGAACGGGUGAGUAACACGUGAGUAACCUGCCCUUGACUUUGGGAUAACUUCAGGAAACUGGGGCUAAUACCGGAUAGGAGCUCCUGCUGCAUGGUGGGGGUUGGAAAGUUUCGGCGGUUGGGGAUGGACUCGCGGCUUAUCAGCUUGUUGGUGGGGUAGUGGCUUACCAAGGCUUUGACGGGUAGCCGGCCUGAGAGGGUGACCGGCCACAUUGGGACUGAGAUACGGCCCAGACUCCUACGGGAGGCAGCAGUGGGGAAUAUUGCACAAUGGGCGGAAGCCUGAUGCAGCAACGCCGCGUGCGGGAUGACGGCCUUCGGGAUGUAAACCGCUUUCGCCUGUGACGAAGCGUGAGUGACGGUAAUGGGUAAAGAAGCACCGGCUAACUACGUG
rnacentral:rRNA from 1 species